rnacentral:rRNA from 1 species
UACGUAGGGUGCAAGCGUUGCCCGGAUUUAUUGGGCGUAAAGGGCGCGUAGGCGGCUCUGCACGUUCGUUGUGAAAUCGCCCGGCUCAACUGGGCGGGGUCAGCGGAUACGGCAGAGCUUGAGCAAGCUAGGGGGCAAUGGAAUUCCCGGUGUAGUGGUGGAAUGCGUAGAUAUCGGGAGGAACACCUGUGGCGAAAGCGGCGCACUGGACCACAACUGACGCUGAGGCGCGAAAGCUAGGGGAGCAAACAGG